UGGCGUAAACAGAGGGAAGCGAGCCUGCGAGGGGGAGCGAAUCCCAAAAAUAACGUCCCAGUUCGGAUUGUAGUCUGCAACCCGACUACAUGAAGCUGGAAUCGCUAGUAAUCGCGGAUCAGAAUGCCGCGGUGAAUACGUUCCCGGGUCUUGUACACACCGCCCGUCACACCAUGGGGGUCGGAAAUGCCCGAAGUCUGUGACCCAACCUUAGGGAGGGAGCAGCCGAAGGCAGGUCGGAUGACUGGGGUGAAGUCGUAACAAGGUAAC
rnacentral:rRNA from 1 species